AAAGAAACCAACAGGGAUUGCCCCAGUAACGGCGAGUGAAGCGGCAAAAGCUCAAAUUUGAAAUCUGGCUUCCAUUCGGGGGUCCGAGUUGUAAUUUGAAGAGGAUGCUUUGGGUGUGACCGCGGCGUAAGUCCCUUGGAACAGGGCGUCAUAGAGGGUGAGAAUCCCGUCUUCAGUCGCUGGCUCACGCCCGUUUAAAGCUCCUUCGACGAGUCGAGUUGUUUGGGAAUGCAGCUCUAAGUGGGUGGUAAAUUUCAUCUAAAGCUAAAUAUUGGCCGGAGACCGAUAGCGAACAAGUAGAGUGAUCGAAAGGUUAAAAGCACCUUGAAAAGGGAGUUAAAAAGCACGUGAAAUUGUUGAAAGGGAAGCGCUUGCGAUCAGACUCGAGCCUGGGGGCUCAGGGGGCAUGUUUGCCCCUGUACUCCCUCAGGCUUGGGCCAGCAUCAGUUCCGACGGCCGGUCAAAGGCCCCUGGAAUGUAUCGUCCUCCGGGACGUCUUAUAGCCAGGGGUGCAAUGCGGCCAGUUGGGACUGAGGAACGCGCUUCGGCUCGGAUGCUGGCGU
rnacentral:rRNA from 2 species